rnacentral:rRNA from 1 species
UGCGUAGGCGGGUUUUUAAGUCAGUGGUGAAAUCUCUCGGCUCAACCGAGAAACUGCCAUUGAUACUAUUGACCUUGAGUACAAUUGAAGUGGGCGGAAUGUGUCAUGUAGCGGUGAAAUGCAUAGAGAUGACACAGAACACCGAUAGCGAAGGCAGCUAACUAAACUGAUAUUGACGCUGAGGCACGAAAGCGUGGGGAGCGAACAGGAUUAGAUACCCUGGUAGUCC